CGGCCGGGCCGGCGCUGGGGGCUCAGCGCGGACCCCCGCCCCAGUCCGCCGCGUUGCCGCACCGUCACCGCCGACUGCGCGGCCCCGUGACCCCGCUGCGGGGCCCGGCAAGUUUCCGCAGCGCUGGGGACCACGCGGGCAGGGGCUGGGCCGCUCUCCGCCUGAGCGACCCCCACCGCGGCGCCCCGGGGUGCGGACAGGUCUUGCCGCGGGGCACAGCUGCUAGCUGGGGCGCCCACCUGGCAACCGGCACCUGCGGACCGCCCCCCGCCCCCCGCCCCCGCGCCCCUGGCCCGCGCUUCACCUGGGCGCACAGGUAGGAGGGCCGCCGGGGCGGGGAUCCCGGCGGACACUCACCCUCCAGCUCGUCCUCCGGGAUGUCCACCGGGCGCUGCUCCGACAGCAGGAGCGGAGAGCCCGGAACUAAGAACUGUAGACCCAGAGAGGUGAGACUGGCCCCAAGCACCUGGGUCCUCAAGAAGAGUCACCGUUUCCGUGCCAGGAGGAUCCAAGGUGGGGAAACUGAGGCUGAGAGAGAAGGACGUUGACCAAGGUCACAGGGCAGGAGCAGCAGGCCUGCCAGAUAAACGCAAAUGUUAUGGGACAUCAUCCCUUCUGGUGGCUCGAGCUCCCUGGCAUUCUGGGUCCUCACUCUGUGCCAGGCGCUGUGCAAGCACUGUAAGUACAUCAUCUUACUUACUCAUCCAAGGCAGACAUCAGUGACCCCGUUUUCUAGCUGAGCAAACUGGAGCACAAAGAGGUGAAGUGUCUUGCUUGGGGCCCCCAGCUGGAGGAGGCAGAGCAGCAUCUGCUCCCCAGACUUGGGUUCUUUCCUCCUCACCAGGGAGCACCGAGCCCAGUCCCACAUCCCAGGUUCCUCCCCUGCCAUGAGGAGGGGAAGGCCAAGACCGGGACCACCACUGCUUAGCCCAUACCGAGCCCCGCUGGGCCUCCCACUGCUGAGCCCCCUCAGAGGGUCGUGGGCUGCACCCAGGAAAUGUGAGGGGAGGGUCUCCUGUCCCACCCACUCUGAGCGGGGUGGGGCUGGGGGGAUUCUUCUCUGAGGUUGAGUUGCUGAAUGAGCCAGGCCCAUGAGGAGGACAAGGUUCAAGUCCCAGCUCCGAGAAGUCAGUUGGCCUCCCUGAGCCUCAGUUUCCUCCUCUGUCUUACAUGGGGAUAAUGGUAACUCUAUGGGGCUCUCAUGGGGGUCUCUGGUGAUGACUCCAGGUAAGGCCUAAGUGGGAGCUGCUGGCAUUCACUGGGCCCUAGUGUGCCUAAUGGUCGCGGCCUCCUCUGGGUACUGCUGUGAGGAUUAGGGAGAGACCAAGUGUGCCGAGGCCCACUCAGGUCACUGCUGGCGUUCUUUUCAUCCUCCCUAGGGCCUGGCCAGAGCAGGCAUUCAGAAGACAUUGUGGCCCCAACCCCACGCACACAGGAUCAGUGCUGGGGUUGGGACGGGGCCCAUCAGCCAAGCAGAACCUUGAUCUUGAUCUCCAGGUCUGAGGCCUGAAAACCAAGGUUUGCCCAACCCACCCCCAUCCUAGACUCAGCAUUUCCCAGGCACUCUCGAGCAUCCUAAAUUGCAUCCAUGUGCUCCAGCCUGGACAGGACCGAAGGUGGCUAAUACCAGUCCUGUCACCGGAGGGUCAGAAGCAGCACGCUUGGGGCAGACACACAGCAGCCACCAAGUCAGGCUCCCCUGUAACGCUGGGGGAGAGACCUCACGGGGCCCCUGAGCCCAGUGGAGGUCAUCCUUGAGUAUCCACAGCUCUUGGCCCCCUGGUGUCCCCCUCCCCAUACCUUCCCUGCCCUGAGGAGCUCCUGAGGGUGGGGUGUUUCCCUGAGCCCUGCCUUGCAGGGUUCUCCACCCUACACACAGCAUGCACUGGACACAGCAGGGAGGGGACUCUGGACUGGGGCUGGGAGCUGCCCCCACCACCUUCUGAGGGGAAGAAUCUGCCCCAGCUGGGAGCUGCUCUCCCAACUUGGCAUUUCCAGGGGCCCUUCCUACGUGAUGUGGGGAGCCCUGGCAUCCCCAGCCGCUCUCCCCCUUCCAUGGGAAAAGAGGAGGGAGGAGAGGAAAGCCGUAUUAAUAAAAGAAUAGGAUACUGCACUAACCCCACAGCAUGUGCGGCUCAGAAUAGCAAUGCGCCUUCUCAAGGCAAACAAAACUCCCCAGGUGUUAAUGCAAAUUCACUCCAGUUAAGAUGAAAGAGGGUUGUUUCCCCCUUUGCUGGUUAAUAUGAAGGACUUAAUAGAUUCAGCCUCAGGAACUCAGGAACUCGGGCUGGGUGCGGAAGGCUGGCGAGUGAGGAGGGGGAAGGAUGAAGGCGUGGGCAAAGAAGGGAGGUCCCAUGGGUUUCGGGGCAGAGCAACUGUCACAGCAGGCCCGGCCGACGCUGCGGCUCCUGCCACCCCCCUCUGCCACCCGGGCUGACAGGCGCUGGGCCUGGUUGCUCAAGAGGAAAACCCAGAGUGGCCAUGCCAAUCCCCGCCCUGGCGCCUGCUGCCUUUCACUUGAGCUCGGGGGCUGGCAGCAUGGUGGCCCCUCCCGAAUUUGUGCCAGAGGAUAGUGGGUCCAAGAGAAAGGAGGGAUGUGGUGGGAGCUCUAACACAGGCCCCAGGCUGGGGUCCCUGCAGGGCACCUGGUUCCACUCCGGCUCCCGGCCAUGGCUGUAGCCAUAGCCACUCCUGCGGUAUCCUGGGCCAGUCACUCCCAUUUUGGCUCCUUGGAAGGUGAAGCUGGCUUGACAUGGCCUUGGAGGACCUCGGGGGACCAGUCUGUGGAGUUGGAACCUAAGGGGGCCUCGAGUUCUGCUGGUCCAAACCUGACCUUCUAUAGCCAAGGCAUGGAAGCCCAGAGAGUGGAAGGGACUUACUCAAGGCCACACAGCAACAGGCGGAGAGCUGCAGGGGAUCAGAGCCCACAGCCAGCUGGCCUGAAGCGCAGGCUGGACCAUUGAGCUGCCUUCUGCUGGGACAGACAGGGCCCUGUCCUCCCAGAGUGGAGCUCCUCUCCAGCCCCGGGCUCCAGGCUAAUCUGCUCAUCCCAGAGCACUUGACUUUCUCAGAUAUAUUCCCUGGGAAUUAUCCUCUGCUGAAAAUCCCCAGGGCCCAAGGAGGGCCCCUGCUGGGGAGGAUGGAGACACCAUGCGCAGCUUGCCACAGCAGGGGUGUGCCAGGGUUCCUGGGGAGGCGCUGCCUGGCUCAGCUGGGGAUAAAGGGAGACUUCAGAGAUCCGGGGAGGGCCGGCCUGAGGCUGGGCUGUCCCUGUCGGUCCACUCCACUCCUCCAAAUUUAACUCCUCUCUCUCUCUCUCAGGGUAAAUGGCACAGCAGGUGCCUGCCUGGGACACCUCAGCAGCCUUCUUUGCUUUGUUUACCGACUUAAUUCCUUCAGAUCAAAGGCUGCCCCUUCCUCCCUGAGCAGGCAGAUGGGGAAUGACAUUAUUUAUAUCAGAAAUGGGCAAGGCUCCAUGGGACUUCUUCCUUAUGCCUGAUAAGAGAAAAUUAGGUCACUCCCGUGCCUCCCUGGCGUCUGCAGUUGGGUUUUUACAGCCCAGGUACUCACAGGCUCAGGGAAGAGCUCAUGUGCACAGUGUGGCCCACCUGGUUCUCUCCCACCCUGAGCCUCCAGUCAAUUAUUGACCUGAGCAGCCAGUAUUAAUGGGACAAAAUGAGAACAUCCUUCGCAGGCAGCUCCAGCCCGGAGUUAUCUAUCAUUUCCCGGGCUUUGCAGCUGGCACUGGGCAAACAUGGGCUUGGACAAACAGACCAGCUGCAGGCUCAUUAAGCUCAGGGUGCAGGUGGAGGGGAUGGAGGCCACAGGGGAGCCGUGAGUGGGCCUGAUCCCUCUGAGCUGUGACAUCCCCUGAGUCACUAUGGCUCUUUCCUUUGCUUCCUCUUGCCCUCUGCCCCCAAAAGAAGUAUCAGAAAAAAAGCCACCGUGUACCAAGUGGUGACUCACAUCUAGGCAAGGUGCUUAGAGCUUUCUGGGCAUUCGUAAUCCCCACAAAACCCUAUAAAAUUCCCAUUUUACAGGUGAAGAAAACUGCAGUGCCCAAUAGACUGGACAAUUUACGUAGGCUCACAUGGCUGGUCAGUGGCCUAGCAGGAACGCAGGUUUGUCUGUGUUCUGAGGCAGGGAGGGCUCUUAGCCUCUCAGCUGUGCCGUUUCCCCAGCUCCCCCUGCAGCUAAUGGUAGAGAUUUCACCUUUCUUCAGGCCAGCUGCGUCUAUUACUUGUAAGUUACGGUAACACUGCGACAGGUCCACACCCCUUUUCUUAGAAACCUGAGUGCAUUUUGUUCCUGUUUUUCACGUUAUCCUGACAACAUCCCCCGGGUACCCAGAGGCCUCACUGUCAACUGUCUUCACAGGGGGUGGAAGGUCUGGCCCUUGUGGGGAAGGAAGAGCCAGGUGCCCUCCACCUCUCUGCCCUGGGCAAGUGUGGCUUAGGGGAGGGGCGAGAUGCCUCUGGCUGCUCCCACUGCGGAGCCCUUCAAGAGAAGUCUUGAUUUCAGCUCAGAGGCAAAAUGCCAGGUGCUAUUCUGGGGCCAAGUUGGUGAGAAAUGGGCAUCAAGUGGAAACCAGGAGAGGACACGGCGGGGGUUCCUCUCCGAGUCAGCUCGAGUCCUUGCUGGGCAGAUUAACGGCCCUGUAAUUUUCCCCAGGUGCUCCCAUCACGGCGCAGAGGUCCAGAGCCAUCUCUCUGGAAGCGAGCUGCGGUCUCCCUACCGGAGCUGGGGCUGUGGCUAGGAUCCUGCCAUAAUGCAGUAAUGACAGGCUGCCAGGGAGCCCCACACGGCCUGGCAGGGGAGGGGGAGAGGAGCCCUUGGCCUCCCUCUCUCUGCUGGAGAUGACGCUGCCUGGGCUGUCUGAAAGGGAGACGGAGAACAUGCGGGUGCCCGACUUUCUCUUCCCCAGACGGCUAAGAAAUUGGACUAGAUACAGUCACAGCAGUCUUCUCGCCAAUACCUUUCCCCCCAGAGUUUCACUGCCAACUCUUCAUUAUAUGUGGGUGGCUCCUUAUCCUCUCUGCCACACGAAGGCUUCUGGGGUAGGCAGCCCUGGGGAACAGCUGUCAGGAACUCCCCACUCAGGCGAGGACCAAAGGCAAAGAAUGAAGUGCUAGCAGGGAGGCCAGAAUGAGCCACUUGGGGCUCCGAUGGGACUGGCGGCAAAUGCCACAGUGAAGCACUGAGGUCUGGCCCCCCCGCUUUGCAUUUACAGCAGGGUCACUACAGACUAGAAAAAACAGCAAAGAAUUCAACUGAUCUCCUCGAUACCAAAAUACCAUUAGAAUCAGUCAUUGGAACUCUGGUAUUAGUAAUUCUAACUCUACUUAGCGGGGACCUCUGACCUCAGGUCCCAUUUACUAUUUUGGUGGGGGUGGGGGGGCGUCGGGUUGUCUUUAAUAGAAAGGUUAGGUAAAAAUAUUGCCUGGACGGCUUUAAAUGACCAAUAUUUUUCAAAGUGCUUUCUUUGGCUUAGACUACGGAGGAAAUCAAACUGCUUCCAAUUACUAAAAAUAACAAUCUACAUUUGCAAAAUGAGUUUAUAUUAUUCAUCUAAUAAAAAGUCUAAUUAGUUACCUUUUUUUUUUGAGAUGGUCUCACUCUGUCACUUUUUUUUUUUUUUGAGACAGUCUCGCUGUUACCCAGGCUGGAGGGUAGUGGCAUGAUCUUGACUCACUACAGCCUCACACUCCCAGGUUUAAGUGAUCUUCCCACCUCAGCCUCCCAAAAAGCUGGGCCUAUAGGUGCAGCCACACCUGGCUAAUUUUUAAAUUUUUUUGUAGACACGGGGUCUCUCUAUGUGGCCCAGGUUGACCAAUUCUAUAUAUUCAAAGCUAACAACAAAUUGUUAAAACUUUUCAUAUUCUUGCCGGACACGGUGGCUCACGCCUGUAAUCCCAGCACUUUGGGAGGCCGAGGCGGGCAGAUUGCUUGAGGUCAGGAGUUCGAGACCAGCCUGGCCAACAUGGUGAAACCCCGUCUCUACUAAAAAUACAAAAAAAUUAGCUUGGCAUGGUGGCAGGUGCCUGUAAUCCCAGCUACUCAGGACGCUGAGGCAGCAGAAUCACUUGAACCGGGGAGGCAGAGGUUGCAGUGACCUGAGAUCAGGCCACUGCACUCCAGCCUGGGUGACACAGUGAGACUCUGUCUCAAAAAAAAAAGAAAAAAGAAAAAACUUUUCAUAUUCUUUAGUUUAUCCACUUCAAACAUCUUUCUAAAAAAAAAAACAAACACAAGUUAUGUAUAACUCAAAACAUUUUGGAAAGACGUUGUGUAUUUUGAUAGGCUGUUUUCCUCACUGGCUUGUGCAAUGGAAACCUGAAGUAUGUCCUGACAAGUGUGUCGAGUGGGUCCCUUAGAAGUCCCGGCAGCCACACUGUGCUGUCUGACUCUCCAACUGGGGCUGCAGUGCUUCGGGACAGAGUUAUCCUAUAGAAGUUUUGGUCUUAAUAAAGGACUUUUGUUGCUUAAGAAAACAGAAGCAAAACCCAAACUAUAAGCUCUGCAGUGGUGAUUUCCAACUUCAAGUGCAAAUGUCACAUAGCCCUGACAGUGGCUGCGCCUCAUUUACUCUGCAGACAGCGCCUGGGCCCCAGGGGCUCUGCAUGCACCCCCAGAGCCUGGAACGCCGAAAACAGAAAUGUCUGGAAGGAUCACCCAGCCCAGCUCCCUAGUUCUCUGGUCUGAAAUCACGGAUGGGCAGGGACCACAGAGAGGAAAUGGAGUGCUGGGACGCCAUGCAGGGCCCUUGCCACCCCCCAAGUGCCCCAGGAAGAGGGAGGCAGUUCCCUGGCGAAGGUGUCAUUAGAGGUCUGUGGAAGGAGGUGAUUCUUUUGCCACCAAAGACAAGGGGCCAGAGGUGAAGGCCCAAGCAGUGAGAGACAGCAGAGGGCUCGUUUCUCCACAGAACCACAAGACAGCCCCACCACCCAGCCGUGUUCUUGACGCCUCAAUGGCCUGAGCAACAGGCAAACUGAGGAAGCCCAAGGCAAGUAUUUUCCAGCUUAGAAUUUUUAUUAAAACAAUCAUUUAAGUUAUAAUCGUUCCCCAGAAUAGAAAAUAGCCUUCUAUGAUCUGGCCCUG
rnacentral:lncRNA from 1 species